GGGAGAUUGGGGAGGGGAGAUGAUGAGGAUGUCGCCUUUGGAGAUAAAAGGAAGCAACAUGGUUUGCUCUGUGAUUGUACCGAAGGGGGAAGAUGGUUGUUUGUAAAGGAAGGGAGAAGACGGAAGGCCUCUGAUGAAAUUUGAGCCCACGUGUGCAGAGCACAAUCGAUUAGCAGCAUCGCCUGAACUACUCGGCCACCUCAUCUGAGCUGUCAGGGAUGGGACAGGAGGAGAAAUCUAAGGCCAGCAGAGCAUGAAAUUCCUUAUUAUCCAACAAGGGAGCCAGACUGGGAUUCAUGGGGAAGAAAGUCCUCAGAAGAUGUUAGCCAGGGAGAGGAAGGUGCGCCAGAGCAAAAGGAAGAAGAGAUCAGAAGAAGGAAAGCAACUAAACGAGCUAAAAUCACAGAAGAACCAAGGGAGAAGAAGCAGGAGCAGUGGCAGCACCAGGUUUUGACAGAGCAGAAGGAUCUUUACAGAGGGAGUGAAGCCAUCAGGAGAAAGGCUGAAACAGCACUUCCUUUCCUGCUCCUGUUCUUUGUUAUAUUUAAAUAUAUUUUAAAGAAGAAAAGCAAUACACCCCUCCCCGCAUUCAGCACAACCCAAGGCAACGUGAGAACAACUGGGAAUGAGACAAUCUGUCCAUGAAGAGGGAAUUAGAUGACUGUAACAAUUACUUUGCAGUGAGAGGAACAGUAUAAAUGUGCCUGCUCCAUGAGACACUGCAAACCCUUCCCAAAGCACCCUGCGGCCAGAUGCAUCUGAAGAAGUGGGGUUUUUUUUUACCCACGAAAGCUGAUGCCCAAAUAAAUCUGUUUGUCUUUAAGGUG